UUACGUAUAAGCAAUCUAUACGGUGGAACUGCGAAUGGCUCAUUAAAUCAGUUAUCGUUUAUUUGAUAGUACCUUACUACAUGGAUAACCGUGGUAAUUCUAGAGCUAAUACAUGCUAAANACCUCGACUUCGGAAGGGGUGUAUUUAUUAGAUAAAAAACCAAUGCCCUUCGGGCUCCUUGGUGAUUCAUGAUAACUUAACGAAUCGCAUGGCCUUGCGCCGGCGAUGGUUCAUUCAAAUUUCUGCCCUAUCAACUUUCGAUGGUAGGAUAGUGGCCUACCAUGGUUUCAACGGGUAACGGGGAAUUAGGGUUCGAUUCCGGAGAGGGAGCCUNAGAAACGGCUACCACAUCCAAGGAAGGCAGCAGGCGCGCAAAUUACCCAAUCCGACACGGGGAGGUAGUGACAAUAAAUACUGAUACAGGGCUCUUUUGGGUCUUGUAAUUGGAAUGAGUACAAUUUAAAUCCCUUAACGAGNNNNNNNNNNNNNGCAAGUCUGGUGCCAGCAGCCNNNNNNNNNNNNGCUCCAAUAGCGUAUAUNAAAGUAAUUGCAGUUAAAAAGCUCGUAGUUGAACCUUGGGCCUGGCUGGCGGUCCGCCUAACCGCGUGUACUGGUCCGGCCGGGCCUUUCCUUCUGGGGAGCCGCAUGCCCUUCACUGGGUGUGUCGGGGAACCAGGACUUUUACUUUGAAAAAAUUAGAGUGUUCAAAGCAGGCCUAUGCUCGAAUACAUUAGCAUGGAAUAAUAGAAUAGGACGUGUGGUUCUAUUUUGUUGGUUUCUAGGACCGCCGUAAUGAUUAAUAGGGAUAGUCGGGGGCAUCAGUAUUCAAUUGUCAGAGGUGAAAUUCUUGGAUUUAUUGAAGACUAACUACUGCGAAAGCAUUUGCCAAGGAUGUUUUCAUUAAUCAGUGAACGAAAGUUAGGGGAUCGAAGACGAUCAGAUACCGUCGUAGUCUUAACCAUAAACUAUGCCGACUAGGGAUCGGGCGAUGUUAUUAUUUUGACUCGCUCGGCACCUUACGAGAAAUCAAAGUCUUUGGGUU
rnacentral:rRNA from 1 species